UACGUAGGGUGCGAGCGUUGUCCGGAAUUAUUGGGCGUAAAGAGCUCGUAGGUGGUUCGGUAAGUCGGAUGUGAAAUCUCCAGGCUCAACCUGGAGGGGUCAUUCGAUACUGCCGUGACUAGAGGUCGGUAGGGGAGUGUGGAAUUCCUGGUGGAGCGGUGAAAUGCGCAGAUAUCGGGAGGAACACCGGUGGCGAAGGCGGCGACCUGGGUAGAUACUGACGCUGAGGCGCGAAAGCGUGGGGAGCAAACAGG
rnacentral:rRNA from 1 species